UGGGGAUCUGCCUGAUGGCGGGGGACAACCACUGGAAACGGUGGCUAAUACCGCAUAAUACCUACGGGUCAAAGUGUGGGACCUUCGGGCCACACGCCAUCAGAUGAACCCAAGCGAGAUUAGCUAGUUGGUAAGGUAACGGCUUACCAAGGCGACGAUCUCUAGCUGUUCUGAGAGGAUGAUCAGCCACACUGGGACUGAGACACGGCCCAGACUCCUACGGGAGGCAGCAGUGGGGAAUAUUGGACAAUGGGCGCAAGCCUGAUCCAGCCAUGCCGCGUGUGUGAAGAAGGCCUUCGGGUUGUAAAGCACUUUCAGUGGUGAGGAAGGCCUUGUAGUUAAUAGCUGCAAGGAUUGACGUUAGCCACAGAAGAAGCACCGGCUAACUCCGUGCCAGCAGCCGCGGUAAUACGGAGGGUGCGAGCGUUAAUCGGAAUUACUGGGCGUAAAGCGCACGUAGGCGGCUUGUUAAGCAAGAUGUGAAAGCCCAGGGCUCAACCUUGGAAUUGCAUUUUGAACUGGCAAGCUAGAGUUUUGAAGAGGGUGGUAGAAUUUCCAGUGUAGCGGUGAAAUGCGUAGAUAUUGGAAGGAAUACCAGUGGCGAAGGCGGCCACCUGGUCAAAAACUGACGCUGAGGAGCGAAAGCGUGGGGAGCAAACAGGAUUAGAUACCCUGGUAGUCCACGCCGUAAACGAUGUCAACUAGUUGUUCGUGUCUUUGAGACGUGAGUAACGCAGCUAACGCACUAAGUUGACCGCCUGGGGAGUACGGCCGCAAGGUUAAAACUCAAAUGAAUUGACGGGGGCCCGCACAAGCGGUGGAGCAUGUGGUUUAAUUCGAUGCAACGCGAAGAACCUUACCAUCCCUUGACAUCCAGAGAAUUUUCUAGAGAUAGAUUAGUGCCUUCGGGAACUCUGAGACAGGUGCUGCAUGGCUGUCGUCAGCUCGUGUUGUGAGAUGUUGGGUUAAGUCCCGCAACGAGCGCAACCCUUAUCCUUAGUUGCCAGCACGUAAUGGUGGGAACUCUAGGGAGACUGCCGGUGAUAAACCGGAGGAAGGUGGGGACGACGUCAAGUCAUCAUGGCCCUUACGGGAUGGGCUACACACGUGCUACAAUGGCGCGCACAAAGGGCAGCAAGCUAGCGAUAGCAAGCGAAUCUCAAAAAGCGCGUCGUAGUCCGGAUCGGAGUCUGCAACUCGACUCCGUGAAGUCGGAAUCGCUAGUAAUCGUGGAUCAGAAUGCCACGGUGAAUACGUUCCCGGGCCUUGUACACACCGCCCGUCACACCA
rnacentral:rRNA from 1 species